rnacentral:rRNA from 1 species
CCACAAGGGGUGAAGCUUGCGGUUUAAUUGGAGUCAACGCCGGAAAUCUCACCGGGAGCGACAGCAGUGUGAUAGCCAGAUUAAAGGUCUUGCUAGACGAGCUGAGAGGAGGUGCAUGGCCGUCGCCAGUUCGUGCCGUGAGGUGUCCUGUUAAGUCAGGCAACGAUCGAGACCCGCGUCCUCUGUUGCUACCAGUCUUGUGCUGGGCACACUGAGGAGACCGCCGCUGAUAAAGCGGAGGAAGGAGCGGGCCACGGCAGGUCAGUAUGCCCCGAAUCUCCCGGGCCACACGCGAGCUGCAAUGGCAGGUACAAUGGGUUCCAACCUCGAAAGGGGGAGGCAAUCUCGAAAACCUGCCGUAGUUGGGAUCGAGGGCUGUAACUCGCCCUCGUGAACAUGGAAUCCCUAGUAAUCGCGUGUCAUCAGCGCGCGGUGAAUACGUCCCUGCUCCUU